GAUGAACGCUGGCGGCGUGCCUAAUACAUGCAAGUCGAGCGAACGGACGAGAAGCUUGCUUUUCUGAUGUUAGCGGCGGACGGGUGAGUAACACGUGGAUAACCUACCUAUAAGACUGGGAUAACUUCGGGAAACCGGAGCUAAUACCGGAUAAUAUUUUGAACCGCAUGGUUCAAGAGUGAAAGACGGUCUUGCUGUCACUUAUAGAUGGAUCCGCGCUGCAUUAGCUAGUUGGUAAGGUAACGGCUUACCAAGGCAACGAUGCGUAGCCGACCUGAGAGGGUGAUCGGCCACACUGGAACUGAGACACGGUCCAGACUCCUACGGGAGGCAGCAGUAGGGAAUCUUCCGCAAUGGGCGAAAGCCUGACGGAGCAACGCCGCGUGAGUGAUGAAGGUCUUCGGAUCGUAAAACUCUGUUAUUAGGGAAGAACAUAUGUGUAAGUAACUGUGCACAUCUUGACGGUACCUAAUCAGAAAGCCACGGCUAACUACGUG
rnacentral:rRNA from 1 species